CGCAGCUAGACCCUUCUCAGCCACCGUAGUGUCGUGUACCAUCGUGUACCAUCGUGUACUGGCCGCGGCCGCAGCUAGACCCUUCUCAUUUACUCGGAGAACGCGAUCCAGAAGCUUCUACUGAAGGCAGUUUCCAACUUCAAAAUGUACGACCAUUGUUCAGCAAAGUUAGCCGACCUGGGAACCGUCCACAGCGCAAAGUCAUGCCGGGAUGACGACAAAGGCGAGGUGUUUCUCUCUGGAUUGGAAACUAGUGAGCUUUCCCCUCCGGGAUAAAACGAGCUAUAACGUUAGCAAUUAGCAUGCUAGCUGCCGGACAUAAUGCUACCUCUGUGGCUACACUGAAUGAAUAGAGAGGAAAGCAGGCACGGGAUGACAGCUUCCUUGACACCAUCAUGGCGAUGUAGGACCGCCGUGCCAUGGUCAGCAAGGAGAAUGAGGACCUGCGUGCCAAGGAGAUGCACGACGAACGGCUGCUGCAUUCACACAAGGCCCAGGAAUCGGACGACCAGCUGCUCAUGGUGAUGCCUUGCCAUGCUGACUCGGCGGCGUGCCAGGUGGAGGUGGAGGUGUCGGCGCGCCAGGUGGAGCAACAAAAUACCUUUCAGGCUGGGCUUCUGGCAGUGCUAAGCGAGCUGAUUAAAUCCAACAGGCCUUCAAUUAAAAAAUAAAAUAAAAACUUGUCGUUGUUGAUAA